UACGUAGGGGGCAAGCGUUGUCCGGAAUCAUUGGGCGUAAAGCGCGUGUAGGCGGCCCGGUAAGUCCGCUGUGAAAGUCCAGGGCUCAACCCUGGGAUGCCGGUGGAUACUGUCGGGCUCGAGUCCGGAAGAGGCGAGUGGAAUUCCUGGUGUAGCGGUGAAAUGCGCAGAUAUCAGGAGGAACACCGAUGGCGAAGGCAGCUCGCUGGGACGUGACUGACGCUGAGACGCGAAAGCGUGGGGAGCAAGCAGG
rnacentral:rRNA from 1 species